UACGAAGGGGGCUAGCGUUGCUCGGAAUCACUGGGCGUAAAGGGUGCGUAGGCGGGUCUUUAAGUCAGGGGUGAAAUCCCAGGGCUCAACCCUGGAACUGCCUUUGAUACUGACGAUCUGGAGAUCGGGAGAGGUUGGUGGAAUUCCGAGUGUAGAGGUGAAAUUCGUAGAUAUUCGCAGGAACACCAGUGGCGAAGGCGGCUCACUGGUCCGAUACUGACGCUGAGGUGCGAAAGCGUGGGGAGCAAACAGG
rnacentral:rRNA from 1 species